GAUAGCUUAGUUGGUAGAGCAUGAGACUCUUAAUCUCAGGGUCGUGGGUUCAAGCCAAAAGGAUUUCCUUCAUUGCA